CCCAGGCCGGUGCGUUGCAAAUUCUUUCUAGGUCCUGUCAAAUGUCAGUUGCAUAAUCCCCUCCUAUAAAAAGCCCCCCAUCUCACUAUCUUCUCUCUCAAUUUUUGUGUAGUGCCUGCAAAACUUUCAUGGGGAGGAAAGUAACAACACACCAUCUCUUCCAAGGAAUACAAUUACAUGUGCAUGAUCAUCCACACGAAAGAAUGUCAAUCCACAGGCCAUUGAUUGCUGACAUUUUAAAGGUUGUGGCAUUGGAGACGACGAUUAUAGCAAAAAUGUCUGCAAAUUGUAUGUCAUAGAUGCCUACGGUGCUAUCCUUACCUGAGCUUUUAGCUUAUGUUUUCCUUUGUCUUCCAUUUCGGUUUUUUGACUUGUUGCCUUUUCUUAUUUUCUUGGCAUAUGUUUUCUUGACCUUGUAAGACCUUUUCUUGACCUUGUAAGACCCAACCAUGUUUUUUGUUUUUCCACCUCUUGUCGUCUCUUCAACUGUAGUCUUUCUAUCAUCUUUUGUCAUUCUCACCCAACUCAUCUUCUCCUUCCUUGUCUAUCCCUCUUGAGCUAUUUCUACUGCAAUUAAACUGAAUUGUUUCAGGUAUUCAGAAUAUAUACAUGUUAGCGAUCUACAUGUUAUUUGAUUUAAUUAAGCUUAUCUUCUCUAAGGAAAGAGAUAAAUGUAAUUGAUAUGAAAGUUGUAUGACUGCAGAAUAAGUUCAAUAUCACAAUUAUCUUUGUGUACUA